AAGGGACUUUCCCUCUCAGCUCCUGCAACUUAGCGCGGCCGGGCAGCUGAGCCCAGAGUGGGCGUGGGGCUCUGCAAACUCACACAGCUCACUGCUGGCAGCUGGAGCUUGAACCCAGGCCUCGGCCUCUUGCCAGUGAAAGGAAGGAAGCCUAGGCACAGAGAGCUUAAGUCACUUGGCCAAGUCAGAAGCUAGGAAGUCCUGGACCCUGAAUUCAGAGUCCAUGCUGUUAACCACUACUCCAUGUGGCCCCUCGUCUUUCAGUCUUGCAAAGAGGAUUUGGAGAAGAGAUAAAGGUCAAGUGUGGCUUCUUCCCCCAGUUCCUCAUUAUGUCCUGUAGGUUUGUUCGUUCAUUCCUUCAUCCCCACAUCCUCCCGUUUAUUCUACCCAUUCCAUAGAUACUGGAGUGGCAACAGUGUACCAGAUUCCCUUCUAGAUGCUGGGGAUCCAGAAGUGGGACAAGACAGAUGAGGUCUGUGCACGCGACACUUUCAGUGUAAAAUACACAGGGAAACAUUUGCGUUUAGGGGCCCUCUAAGCUUACUUCCUCACUAAGUACUCCUACCUCCUACAAGGCCUCUUCAGCUUGCUCACUGCAGCUGAAAAGCAAAGCCUCUGUCCAUAGUUAGAGGUAAAAGAUUAAAAAUGCAAAGUCCUACGGGGUGUUAAUGCAUGAUUAUGAGUAAAUUCAAAUUUCCAUCCUUUAUCUCCAGUCCAGACUUUGCUUCUGAAUUCAGGGAUCUUUUUCCCUUUUGACCAUCAAUUGCUUAUGAUACAUACAUAUGCUCACCCACACCCACCUCCAGAGACUCAAACUUCAUCUCCUCCAUCAGCCUUGCCUCACCUACCCUUCUCUGAUCAUCUCUGUCUUCAUUAAAAGUGUAUCCAUUCACUAUUCACAAAAACUGAAAACUUCAGUCAUCUUAGAUUGUUUUUCCUCACUCUCCUCCAUUUACUUAGCCAGCGUUUCCUCUCAACUCUACCUUUACAAGUGUCUCUCAAAUUCAUCCCCCUCUCCCUCUUCCAACUGCUGGGGAAGGUGAGUCAAUAGUGUUACUGGAGUCUGUGCGCUGGAGCUGUGAAGAGAGGACAUCCAACAAGAACUACAGGGAAUGGUGCCAUACUGGGGGCUCAGUGUUGGCCUCUGCUCUCACCAGCUUGUACACUCGGCAAUGAAGGAGGGAAGCCACAAGUGACAUCAGCCUUGGAGAGGGAAAUCUAUGCACUUGGGCCCAUGCUUAACCUCCAGGCCUGCACCGUGGCACUGUACAUUCUGCAGGCCCUGGGGAAGCUGGGGGGAGGUUCACUGACGUAGGAUAUGUCAUAUGAUGAUGCAAUGGGAUAGAUCAUCUUGUUCUCUGGAGGGCAUUCCAUGAGACACAAUUAUCUUCACACUUUGCCUACUUUAAGAGAUACUUUCCCAAAUCUCUCCUACCCUGACCUCUUUGUCACCAGUCUUUCAAUCUUGUUUUUUCCAAGUCCCUAAAGAGCCAGCUGGCCAACACAUUAGCUGCCAUCUAUGAGUCAGUAUAGAUUUUAUAUCAGGCCAUCUCUCUUUCUAUGCAAAAUGGAAAAACAGAUGUACUACUCAAAGUUUUGUCUGUUAUGAAGAUUUCUCUUUCUACUGUAUUUCUGGGCAUUCCUCAGUAGGGCUGUGAUGCAGCAGCAAUCCACUUAUAACUGGUACCAGCUUACUUUGCAUAAGGCUGACUCUUUUCCCUCCUUUGUUAUCUGGUUAUAGGGAACUCCCCAUGAAGCUAUAGGUGUGUGUUGAGGGAAAGACAUCGAAGCAGUGGGAGAAGACACCAUGGAGUCUAAGUUCUCUGCUCAUGCGAUUGUUUUGUGCCUUCUGGACCUCUUGUACUCAUCUGCUAUAUCUUACAGAUACUAUUUUCACUUAAUAAUGGGAUACCACUGAAUAUACCCCACUUCAUCAUUUGGUGGAUCAGGGGAAAUUUGGACACAGAGACUGACACACACAGAGAGGAGAGGAUGUGACACGGGGAG